CCUUCCCUCUGGCGGCAUGCCUAACACAUGCAAGUCGAACGAAGGCUUCGGCCUUAGUGGCGCACGGGUGCGUAACGCGUGGGAAUCUGCCCUUGGGUUCGGAAUAACAGUUAGAAAUGACUGCUAAUACCGGAUGAUGUCGUAAGACCAAAGAUUUAUCGCCCAAGGAUGAGCCCGCGUAGGAUUAGCUAGUUGGUGGGGUAAAGGCCUACCAAGGCGACGAUCCUUAGCUGGUCUGAGAGGAUGAUCAGCCACACUGGGACUGAGACACGGCCCAGACUCCUACGGGAGGCAGCAGUGGGGAAUAUUGGACAAUGGGCGAAAGCCUGAUCCAGCAAUGCCGCGUGAGUGAUGAAGGCCUUAGGGUUGUAAAGCUCUUUUACCCGGGAUGAUAAUGACAGUACCGGGAGAAUAAGCUCCGGCUAACUUCGUG
rnacentral:rRNA from 1 species